CCCGAAUUGAUCCACCGGUCUGCAAACCAUGAACAAGUUGCUCUCUUUACUCUUUUUCUUCUAUGCGCUUAUCUCUCUUUGUCAAUCCAGGAGAUUUGUAAUCAUAACGCCAAGCGUUCUUCAAGUAGGCAUUGAGCAUAAAGUGAUCGUCGCGUUCUACAGUGACGUCCGAAAGAAUGUCGGUGUGAAAGUCGACGUCGAACUGGAGGAUAGAACGAAGGUCUUUUCGGGAACAGCAGUACAAGCGUCAGGACAACAAGGUGGAUCCGUUCAAAUAUUUAUCCGGGUUCUUGAAGAAGCGCUAAAAAAUCUAUCACCG